ACAAUAUCUUUAUAAAUUACACAACAUAAUCAACAAAAUGUUAUUGAAAUAUCUUCUUAUUUCUGGCUUUAUUUCCAUUGUCGAGCCUACAGCUUUAAAAAAGUUAAACACGAUUGACGAAAUUUUCACCACCUACAAAUCAGAUAUCACUGAUAUUAAGAACUCUUUGCAAGUCUUGAUGGAAGAAAAUUCUCAAAUCGAAAAAAAUCUUGCUUUGGCAAAUUCAAAAUUGUCGUACACAAAAGAAGAAACUGAUAAUCUGAUUACUUCGGUAGAUUUUAUUAUUCUUGGAAUAAGUUUUAACUCGACCUCUACACACAAUUGUGAAGAAAUUGAGUUGUACAACGAAUUACAAGAUACCACAAUGAAUAACGUUACUAAAUUCACUUUUAAAUAUUACGACAAACUUAAUGUAUUAACCGAGAUCAUUACAACUUUUAAAGCUAUGCUGACAAGUUUGAAUAAUAACAUUGCGUUUGUAGUCCCGAAUUGUUGGCUACAUAAUUUAUUACCAUGGCAAAACGACCAACUUAAUGAGUGUGUUAGAAAAAGAUUCGAUGAAUUUCAAACUGAAAUAAACAGAGUUAGUAAUGAGAGUUAUCACAUUAAUCUUGAUUUGAACGUGAUGAUGAAUUCUAUGAGAGUGGACACUGUUGAAAUUGUGACGUGGAUGAUUCAAGAUAUCGUUAAAAUCGUUAAUUAUGUUAAUGAAUGUUAUAAUUCUCAAUCUAUUACUACAGAAGAAAACGUAAUAACCACAACAGAAAUAAAUGUUUCAACUGAAGAAAUUAAUAAUUAAUAAGCAUGUUUUUCUUUAUUGAUAGGUCAUUGUAAUUGAUCGAGUUUUACAGACAAUAAAUAUUAGCUUAACCUAUUUUUUCAAUUUCUUUAUAAUAUUUACAAACCACUUCAAAUCAUCUAUAAAAAUCGAUCGAACGUCUUAAUCCAUCAGUAACAAUUUCUCCCUCACCGAUUUAAAAUGAUUUUAAAAACUUUAAUAUUUCUCAUUGCAUUAAGCAGCAUAAAGGCCGCACCUUCUGACAUAAACACCAAAUGGAUUUACGACGUCUUAAACAAAUUCAAUCCAGAAAUAACAGAAUUAAAAGUAUCAAUAGAAACUUUAGCGAAUAAAACCACAGAUAAUGUAGUGAUGUUAUCUUCGGGGAUGUUAAGAAUAAUCUUGGUUAGAAACGAAUCUGAUACUCUGAUUGCUUCGUUAAAAAGCGUCGUUAAAACAACCAUAGAUGAAGCUACCCAAGAAAAAAUAGAAAUUGAAAGUUGCGUUGACGACGAAUUAAAAUCUCAAGAAAAUUUAGAAAUCAAUUUAAACGAAAAAACCGAACAGAUCGAGGCGAAAUAUAAUUUAUACUUCGAGGAAUUUUUAGGCGAAUCUAUAAAAAUUAAAAAUCUUUUACCCGAUUUAAAUCGAAAAAUUGAUGAGUCACUUCGUAAUUGUGCUUUGCAUCAUUUUUUACCGUGGCAUGAAGAUGAGUUAAUCAAUUGUAUCAAUCGAGAUAUUGAACAAUCAAAAUCUGAAAUUUCAGAAAUUAAUUCCAAUAUUAUUUCAAUUAUAACAAAAGCAGAAGAAUUAUUUGGUGAGAUGGAAAUCGACGUUGUAGAGAUGACUAAAAAUGUUUUGUUAGAGAUGUUUGGAAUUAUCGAAACUCUUAAAGUGUGUAUUGUUAUGAUUAAACCUGAAACAACUACUUUUGUUGAAAAUUAAAUCAUCUUGAAAUUAAAUUAUCGCUAAAUUAAACCAUAUUUUAAUCCCCACUUAAAAUUAUUUAACACAAUAAUGUAAACAAUACAUUUUAUACAUAAUAAAAAGAUAAGAAAUG
rnacentral:misc_RNA from 1 species